CUUCCUGAGGAGCGUUGCGACGGGUCGCGCGUUGUCCGCUAGGGGGCGCAUCCCUCCAGCCGGACCCCACCCGCCAGGCUCAGGAACUUCCUCUUUCCAGCCGCUUGCCCGUGCAAGCGGCUAGAACGGCGCUCGCCAACC
rnacentral:ncRNA from 2 species